GAUGAACGCUGGCGGCGUGCCUAAUACAUGCAAGUCGAGCGAACAGACGAGGAGCUUGCUCCUCUGACGUUAGCGGCGGACGGGUGAGUAACACGUGGAUAACCUACCGAUAAGACUGGGAUAACUUCGGGAAACCGGAGCUAAUACCGGAUAAUAUAUUGAACCGCAUGGUUCAAUAGUGAAAGACAGUUUUGCUAUCACUUAUAUAUGGAUCCGCGGCGCAUUAGCUAGUUGGUAAGGUAACGGCUUACAAAGGCGACGAUGCGUAGCCGACCUGAGAGGGUGAUCGGCCACACUGGAACUGAGACACGGUCCAGACUCCUACGGGAGGCAGCAGUAGGGACUCCUCCGCAAUGGGCGAAAGCCUGACGGAGCACCGCCGCGUGAGUGCUGAAGGUCUUCGGCUCGUAAAACUCUGUUAUUAGGGAAGACCAAAUGUGUAAGUAAAUAUGCACGUAUUGACGGUACCUAAUCAGAAAGCCACGGCUAACUACGUG
rnacentral:rRNA from 1 species